rnacentral:misc_RNA from 1 species
GCAUAUGGUGAGUACCCGAUGACUGGGAGUUUGGUAGUGCUCUAAAGAAAAAAUCCUUCAAUCCCUCUUCCAGAUAUUGUUUCCCUGUAGAUGGUAAGUGCUUCCUCCAUAACGUUAGCUUGAGCCAGCAGCUGAGAUCUCUUCUUUCCAGAUGGAUGAGUAGAUAGAUAAUCUCUCAGUGCUGAAUCACCAGUGACCUUCCCCAAUUUCUCAUACACUCUAGGUGCAACUCGAGGAUCAUAUCCAGCAGAAGCCAUCAACAAUAGACCAAUGUAAUCUGCCUCUAUUUCCAUCCUCCGGGAGAAAGGAAGUCUCAGGAAUAGAGUUGACAUUGUGUUGACAACGUCAGGCAUAACAAACUGAUAAAGAAUAAGUUGCAAGAUGGCAAACCACAAAUUCUUGGUGAUCCCUUCUGCUGCAUGUCUUGCCACAGCAUGCCCAACCUCAUGCCCAAUAAUGGUUGCGAUCUCUGCAUCAGUUUUAAAGUGAUCAAACAACCCUGUAAACACAACAAUCUUCCCACCAGGCAAACAGAAAGCAUUAACAACAGGUUCAUCAACAACCAAAACCUCCCAAUUCAAUCCAUCCAAAUGCGAAGUUUCUGCUCUUGAUCCUCUCUCUUUCUUUCUACUCUGUUGAACCCAACUAUCAUCAAGGAUCUCAUCUUCUUUAUGCCAUUUUGUCUCAACAUUCCCUUCGGUCUCAAUCAAUGCCCUCAACGUCUCGUGUGUGCUUCCCUCAUGUGCUAUAUCGCUGUCCGACGAAGCAUACCCCAAAUCGCUCCACACUCGCUCCUGGCUUAACCCCCUUUGCAAAGCCUCAAUUAUGUCUUUUGAAAUUAAACGAACCCUCACGCUCUCUGGGUGUAUUGCGGGCAGAAUUUUGCCUUUAAAUGCCGCUUUCAUUUGCUCGAACUGGUUCUCACCGAUCUUUCUCUCUAAAGUUUUAGACAAAAGCACAAAAUGUUUUCGUUUUGUGUAAGGUACGGUCUCCAAAUUACCGAAAUAGACAGUGAUGAAAACACCAGAACCCACCAAAACGAUAAUCAACAAGCUUCUUGGAUUCUGAAACCAUCGUCUCGGGCCUCUGGGCUUAAAAUGGUAAACCUGAUACCUAUCUACAUAAUAAAAUCUCUGAGCACCACCAAGAAAUGGAUUUAGAUGUAAUCUCCUCGUACCCAUUUGGAAACCUAGUCCUAAUCUACGAAAAACAGAAGAAUUUGGAUAGAACCCAGAAAAUUU